rnacentral:rRNA from 1 species
ACACAUGCAAGUCGAGCGGAAAGGCCCUUCGGGGUACUCGAGCGGCGAACGGGUGAGUAACACGUGAGCAACCUGCCCUAGGCUUUGGGAUAACCCUCGGAAACGGGGGCUAAUACCGGAUAUUACUGCUGGACGCAUGUUUGGUGGUGGAAAGUUUUUCGGCCUGGGAUGGGCUCGCGGCCUAUCAGCUUGUUGGUGGGGUGAUGGCCUACCAAGGCGACGACGGGUAGCCGGCCUGAGAGGGCGACCGGCCACACUGGGACUGAGACACGGCCCAGACUCCUACGGGAGGCAGCAGUGGGGAAUAUUGCACAAUGGGCGGAAGCCUGAUGCAGCGACGCCGCGUGAGGGAUGACGGCCUUCGGGUUGUAAACCUCUUUCAGCAGGGACGAAGCGCAAGUGACGGUACCUGCAGAAGAAGCGCCGGCCAACUACGUGCCAGCAGC